rnacentral:rRNA from 1 species
UACGUAGGCAGCGAGCGUUGUUCGGAAUUACUGGGCGUAAAGGGCUCGUAGGCGGCCAACUAAGUCCGACGUGAAAUCCCCAGGCUUAACCUGGGAACUGCGUCCGAUACUGGUUGGCUUGAAUCCGGGAGAGGGAUGUGGAAUUCCAGGUGUAGCGGUGAAAUGCGUAGAUAUCUGGAGGAACACCGGUGGCGAAGGCGACAUCCUGGACCGGUAUUGACGCUGAGGCGCGAAAGCCAGGGGAGCAAACGGG